rnacentral:rRNA from 1 species
GACGAACGCUGGCGGCGUGCUUAACACAUGCAAGUCGAACGGAAAGGCCCUGCUUUUGUGGGGUGCUCGAGUGGCGAACGGGUGAGUAACACGUGAGUAACCUGCCCUUGACUUUGGGAUAACUUCAGGAAACUGGGGCUAAUACCGGAUAGGAGCUCCUGCUGCAUGGUGGGGGUUGGAAAGCUUCGGCGGUUGGGGAUGGACUCGCGGCUUAUCAGCUUGUUGGUGGGGUAGUGGCUUACCAAGGCUUUGACGGGUAGCCGGCCUGAGAGGGUGACCGGCCACAUUGGGACUGAGAUACGGCCCAGACUCCUACGGGAGGCAGCAGUGGGGAAUAUUGCACAAUGGGCGGAAGCCUGAUGCAGCAACGCCGCGUGCGGGAUGACGGCCUUCGGGUUGUAAACCGCUUUCGCCUGUGACGAAGCGUGAGUAACGGUAAUGGGUAAAGAAGCACCGGCUAACUACGUGCCAGCAGCCGCGGUGAUACGUAGGGUGCGAGCGUUGUCCGGAUUUAUUGGGCGUAAAGGGCUCGUAGGUGGUUGAUCGCGUCGGAAGUGUAAUCUUGGGGCUUAACCCUGAGCGUGCUUUCGAUACGGGUUGACUUGAGGAAGGUAGGGGAGAAUGGAAUUCCUGGUGGAGCGGUGGAAUGCGCAGAUAUCAGGAGGGACACCAGUGGCGAAGGCGGUUCUCUGGGCCUUUCCUGACGCUGAGGAGCGAAAGCGUGGGGAGCGAACAGGCUUAGAUACCCUGGUAGUCCACGCUGUAAACGGUGGGUACUAGGUGUGGGGUCCAUUCCACGGGUUCCGUGCCGUAGCUAACGCUUUAAGUACCCCGCCUGGGGAGUACGGCCGCAAGGCUAAAACUCAAAGGAAUUGACGGGGCCCCGCACAAGCGGCGGAGCAUGCGGAUUAAUUCGAUGCAACGCGUAGAACCUUACCUGGGUUUGACAUGGAUCGGGAGCGCUCAGAGAUGGGUGUGCCUCUUUUGGGGUCGGUUCACAGGUGGUGCAUGGCUGUCGUCAGCUCGUGUCGUGAGAUGUUGGGUUAAGUCCCGCGACGAGCGCAACCCUUGUUCACUGUUGCCAGCACGUUAUGGUGGGGACUCAGUGGAGACCGCCGGGGUCAACUCGGAGGAAGGUGGGGAUGACGUCAAGUCAUCAUGCCCCUUAUGUCCAGGGCUUCACGCAUGCUACAAUGGCUGGUACAGAGAGUGGCGAGCCUGUGAGGGUGAGCGAAUCUCGGAAAGCCGGUCUCAGUUCGGAUUGGGGUCUGCAACUCGACCUCAUGAAGUCGGAGUCGCUAGUAAUCGCAGAUCAGCAACGCUGCGGUGAAUACGUUCCCGGGGCU